GUCAGAAUGCCACAGGCCUAGCUAAUCAGAAAUGCCGCAGCCCGGCCAAUCAGAAACACCACAGCUCAGCCAAUCAGAAAUGCUGCAGCCCAGCCAAUCAGAAA